CUUUUAUUCACAGAGUGACUUUUGUUAUCAGGCAGACCAAGGAAAGUGUGUCAGCGCCACAAAAAUAGCCUCAGGGACUCUUUGUUUUCUCUUUUUCUUUGCUAAAAUAUACUUUUACUCCUAACAAUUCAUGUAGUCUGGUUUGAAUUAGCACUAAAAUGAGGUAAUGCGAUGUGCUCACUCUCAAAAUUCAGAUUCUAACGCUAUGAGGACAUUUUUGCCAUCGCGCUAAUACUCCAAAGAAAUCAGACAAAAAUUUUCUGGUUUCUUCAAUCACACCAAGUCGUCCAGGUCCUGAAAGUGUAAAGAAGCCUCAAACUAUCACUCUUCCAUGACCAUGCUUGACAGUGGUAUGAUGAAAGACAAGUCUUGAAGUUGUGUAUGGGCAACAGUUUUUUUCACCUUGGAAUCUGCCAUGGAUGCCAUUUUUACCUAGUCUCUUACGGAUUUUUGAGUCAUGAACACCUUUACUCCUUAAAACUAAGGGGCUUAUACCGUGGACCAACUAAAGAAUUACAAAGGUCUGGAGGCCUACAACCAAUUCAUCAAAGGCUGGGUUCGUCAUGCGACCUGUCUCCCCACACUGCUAAGGUUAGUGUACCGCGUGAUUAUAGUCAGCGUCGUGCUAAAUUAUGUUGAUUAUACCAAUGAAAGAGGUGUAGAUUAUUAUUUUCAUGUUUGUUACCAAGAGGGAGAGAGAGAGAGAGAGAGAGUUUCGACCGGGGUGAGUCCCAAGUGGAGCCCGCACCUUUUUCUCCACUUCCACGGCUCCAUUUUUAACUUAACUCAGGAAACAGCUAGCGGUGCGGUAACUCGUUUUUGCAAACUUAUUAUAAUAGAACAGAAAAUACAGAUUUUGGAGACAUGCAUUGCAUUCACACGCGAGUAUUGUGUUUGGCUGUUAGAUCGGCUGCGCUAAUACGACACAGCCACAGCUGUCGUCGUUUGGUUGCUAACUGCUCCGUUUUCUCACACUGGUUCUUGAUCACAGCUGGCGGUCGAAAGAAAGACGCUUUACAACACCCGUUUGAGCAACCAAUAACAUAGCGUUGCGCCCCCAUUCAUACGCUUUUCUGAAAUGAUUCCUGCUUAGUUACAUGUGUUUACGUGAAUUCACCAAACCAAGAUGGCGCCCGCGUUCUAAAUCGGAAGGUGUGCGAUGUCUGUCUACAGAGUAAAUAUCGUUAGCUAUGGUAAUUUAAUAUAGCAUAUCACUGCUAGUUAGAGCAAACUGUAACCCUUUCGCAGGUUUCAAACAAACAAGUCCAUUCAGAAGUUUUCGGUGGCCACAACUGACGCCGAGUAACCCAGCACACAGACUUGCUAAUGGUUAGCCACUUAACAGCAAGUGCAAUUUUGAGCCAGCAGCUGCCAAUUCUACACGUACGGUCAUUGAUUUGUACACCAGUCAGCAGGCGAGGCCCCGCCUUAUUAAGCCACACACGCGUUCAAAGUCACAGAUACUACAGCACAGAACGAGAGGAUGGCGAGCCAAGUGGACAAUAAUGAUAGAGGCAGCUCGUAUGCAUAUUUUGCAUUGCUCUUCUGGAUAAAGCUUUAAAAUAUAUUUAGAUUAUAAAAAAUGAUUAUGGCUGCUUCCUUGCAGAUAUUCAUCAAUCGUGGGAAGUUCUAGAACAUAACCCCUGCAAUGAACAAGGAAGUACUGUAUACAUAGUAGUUUCAUAUAAUAAACAAGAAAAGACCACCAAAAUGCAUCUGAUCUGACAUUUUCACACAUCCGGUACCUAAAAGCCAACUCCUACAAAACAAAUAUUCCACCAAAUGGAAAACCUUGUACAUUUGUCCACCAAAUAAAAUAGCGUACCUGCUCAAAUCCGGGAUGGUACGAGCUUCACUUGCCAAAUGCUAACACAACAUAACAGCACAUGAGCCUCAGUGCACACGCACAGACACACAUACACACACUGUCUCUCCUCUUAUGUAAUCCCAUCAAGCGACCAUUCCAGCUUUCAUGCCAGGAAAUGUAAAAAACAAAACAAAAACGGUAACAUUCGAAACAAAAGCAUCAUUGUCAUCGUCAUCAUUCA